CCUACGGGAGGCAGCAGUAGGGAAUUUUCGUCAAUGGGCGCAAGCCUGAACGAGCCAUGCCGCGUGAGUGAAGAAGGUUUUCGGAUUGUAAAGCUCUUUCGGAUGUGACGAUGAUGACGGUAGCAUCUAAAGAAGCCCCGGCUAACUUCGUGCCAGCAGCCGCGGUAAUACGAAGGGGGCAAGCGUUGUUCGGAAUUACUGGGCGUAAAGUGAGUGUAGGCGGUUUAGUAAGAUAGUGGUGAAAUCCCAGAGCUUAACUUUGGAAUUGCCAUUAUAACUAUUAGACUAGAAUUACAGAGAGGAUAGUGGAAUACCCAGUGUAGAGGUGAAAUUCGUAGAUAUUGGGUAGAACACCAGUGGCGAAGGCGACUAUCUGGCUGUACAUUGACGCUGAGGCUCGAAAGCAUUGGGAUCAAACAGGAUUAGAUACCCGUGUAGUC
rnacentral:rRNA from 1 species